CCGCAAUGGACGAAAGUCUGACGGAGCAACGCCGCGUGAGUGAUGAAGGUUUUCGGAUCGUAAAGCUCUGUUGUUAGGGAAGAACAAGUGCCGUUUGAAUAAGGCGGCACCUUGACGGUACCUAACCAGAAAGCCACGGCUAACUACGUGCCAGCAGCCGCGGUAAUACGUAGGUGGCAAGCGUUGUCCGGAAUUAUUGGGCGUAAAGCGCGCGCAGGCGGUCUCUUAAGUCUGAUGUGAAAGCCCACGGCUCAACCGUGGAGGGUCAUUGGAAACUGGGAGACUUGAGUACAGAAGAGGAGAGUGGAAUUCCACGUGUAGCGGUGAAAUGCGUAGAUAUGUGGAGGAACACCAGUGGCGAAGGCGACUCUCUGGUCUGUAACUGACGCUGAGGCGCGAAAGCGUGGGGAGCAAACAGGAUUAGAUACCCUGGUAGUCCACGCCGUAAACGAUGAGUGCUAGGUGUUAGGGGUUUCGAUGCCCUUAGUGCCGAAGUAACACAUAAGC
rnacentral:rRNA from 2 species